ensembl:rRNA 5S_rRNA 5S ribosomal RNA
CUUAAUGUCCAUGUUAAUUUUUAAAAUAUAGUUCCUUGUCGAUCCUGUCUGAUCUCAGAAGCUAAGCAGGGUUGGACCUGGUUAGUACUUGGAUGGGAGACCACCUAGGAAGACAAGGUGCUGUUGGCG